GCACUGUAGCUCAAUGGUGGAACAUCUGCUUUGCAUGCAGAAGGUCCCAGGUUCAAUCCCCGACAUCUCCA
rnacentral:tRNA from 1 species